UGGGCGUUUAGCUCAGUGGUAGAGCGCCCGCUUUGCAUGCGGGAUGUCGUGGGUUCAAACCCCACAUCGUCCAG
rnacentral:tRNA from 1 species